UCGAGAUAAAAUAAAAUAAAAUAAAUCAGCUACUGAUAUACGUACGACAAAGAACAAACCCUACAAAUCUUUAGUAGCAAAUUUCAGAAAUUUUUAACUGGUGAAAAUCGAGUAGAUGCCGAAUUUGCUCCAGCAACCGGAAUCGCUGACGGAGCUUGAUUCGGGAGUUCCAGUUGCCAAACUGUUGCAGGUUUGAUCUAGGGUUCUCUUCAGUGCCAGAAAAAAUGCCAAAAAAUGCAAAUGCAGCACGCCUUGCAAUAUCCCAUGCUGUCCAUUCCUUUAUAAGUCUAUAUAUUUGCACGUUAAUGGCACCUGGAGGAUGAGCCUACACCCAAAAACAUUAGAAAAUUCCUGAAAGCUUUUCAUCAGAUGGGUUUACUUAUUGCCCGUAAUUGCUGGAAAUUGGAAAUCAUUGGAUUGAAGAAGGCAGUCUUGGCGUACACAAUAAGUGUGUAUAAACUCAUUUGGAGGAGGAGGUUGAGAGUUCUAUAAAGCCGUACAUCAAGAAUUAGAAAGUUAUUUUCAUUCUGAAGGCGCAAGGCUUCCUUUACUUCGACACUCCUAACCUGCAAAAAAGUUUCAAGAAAAUUUGUACAGUGGUUUAAGUUGCAUCAACAAAUCUUCAAAUAUAGGUCUAUUGCGACUCACUUCCCAGUUCAGGGCUAAUAGAUGGCCUGGAUUCUUGCUUUUAUCGUCUGGAUGCUGUGCAUGGUUUUCUCUUUUGCUAUUAAGAGUGCAGCAUAUGUGAUUCUUAUUUAUCUCUUCUUUCAAGACCGUGAUUCUCAAGGCUUUUAUAUGUAUUAAUUCAGUGAAUGUAUUUCUGCUGAAGUACUUGAAUCAAACUAAAAAGUCCCAAAAUAUUUAGUAAUUACCAAAAUUGUAGCUCCAACUAUUUUUAGUUAUCUUUUAACACUUCA